GGGGAGAGGCCUUAUAACGCCCUAAUGCGCCCCCAUAGCCAUGUCAGGAAUAGGAGGAGAACCUCAUCCUGACAUGAGCAAAGUCGAAGGCUCGGUUCUUUUAGAUCGGAUGGGGGGAGAGGCCCUUGCGAUGGCCCUUAUGUGCCCCACAGCCCCGUUGGAAAUAGGAGGAGAACCUCGUCCUAACCUGAGCUGAGAUCGACUACAUCAGGAAUGGAAGGAGAACCUCAUCCUGAUGGUGACGAAACCCGACUGCCCAA
rnacentral:lncRNA from 1 species